GUAAUUAUAUUUCAAUGGUAGAAGGAUCAAUUGUGGAUUGAUGAAUCUGAGUUCGAUUCUCAGUAUUUACC
rnacentral:tRNA from 1 species